UGUCAUUUACAUUUAAAAUUGUCUUUGAUUUUUAAGAGAAAGAACACAAAAACCUUGAAGGAUCGAUUCCUGAUUUUUUUGGGAUUCUCUUAAAUUUGGGUUGGCAAAAAAAUAUGAGAUUGAUUUCUUCUAAUUUGAUUCAUCUUCUUCUACUAAAAUCAUGGCAAAAGAAAAAAAAUUAGCAGAGGGCUCACUGUUCGCUUUCUCUCUCAAGAACAAAGUUGUAGAUCUAGUUUAUAUUUUGCGUGAGUCCAAAACUUGUGGGUUGUUCUCUCCUUCUCUUCAACCUCCUCAGUCGCCGAUCUUCAACAGUGGGUGUGAAACAACAAUAGAGCAAGAUACAAUGGCGAUGAGCUUGAUGAACAGAGCAAUCUCAAGAACCGAAACCGUCGGUAUCCUCAGCGGGCUAAGGAAGAGAAAAGGUUCAGGGGUCUUGCUUUGGCUCAUUUGCAACCUGAAAGAAGAAACAGAUCAUUUUCUUUAGAGGUUUCAUGUUCUGCUGAUAACCUGAAAUUGUUUAAGAAGCUCUCUGGAGAAAGCUACAGAGAGGACGAUGAUGAAGUGGUCGAUCGUUAAGAGAAUCCCCGUCUAUGCUAAAUAUAGUGUCGCUUCUCUCUCAUAGCAAAGAAGAAUAAGAGGCUGGUGAAAGCAAAAUCCGCUCACAACUUGUUCGACCAAAUGCCCCACAGAAGAAAAAAAAUGAGGCAAAGAAAUGAUGGGUUACUCUCUGUCAAGACGACUUAAGUGCAGGCUUGACUGGCGAUGAGGUAUACUAUCUUGAUGAGUAUAUAUCAAACAAGAGACUUAAAAGGCAACCUUCUCAGUCUAAGAAUGGUGUAAAGUUUAGUGGGACGGAAGUAUCCUUGAGUGUUUUUGGGAGUAUGGAUGUUCUUGUGCCCCCGAUACUUGGCUUCUUUCAAAAGUGAACGAUGAGAAAACUCCAUGCUUUACUGCCUCCAAUCUUGAACGGUUAAAGUUUGGUCUUGAGGACUAUGUAUUAAGGCAUGGGAA